CGCGUAGGCGGAAUUGUAAGUCAGAUGUGAAAUAUCGAGGCUCAACCUCGAUGCUGCAUUUGAAACUACAAAUCUUGAGGGUAGACGGAGAAAACGGAAUUCCACGUGUAGCGGUGAAAUGCGUGGAUAUGUGGAAGAACACCUGUGGCGAAAGCGGUUUUCUAGUUUAUACCUGACGCUGGGGCGCGAGAGCAAGGGGAUCAAACA
rnacentral:rRNA from 1 species